GUGGGGAAUCUUCCGCAAUGGACGAAAGUCUGACGGAGCAACGCCGCGUGAGUGAUGAAGGUCUUCGGAUUGUAAAGCUCUGUUAAUCGGGACGAAAGAGCCUAGUGUGAAUAAUGCUAGGAAGUGACGGUACCGGAAUAGAAAGCCACGGCUAACUACGUGCCAGCAGCCGCGGUAAUACGUAGGUGGCAAGCGUUGUCCGGAAUUAUUGGGCGUAAAGCGCGCGCAGGCGGAUCUGCCAGUCUGUCUUAAAAGUUCGGGGCUUAACCCCGUGAUGGGAUGGAAACUACAGAUCUAGAGUAUCGGAGAGGAAAGUGGAAUUCCUAGUGUAGCGGUGAAAUGCGUAGAUAUUAGGAAGAACACCAGUGGCGAAGGCGACUUUCUGGACUGUAACUGACGCUGAGGCUCGAAAGCCAGGGGAGCGAACGGGAUUAGAAACCCGUGUAGUCC
rnacentral:rRNA from 1 species